AUUGAACGCUGGCGGCAUGCUUUACACAUGCAAGUCGAACGGUAACAGGUUAAGCUGACGAGUGGCGAACGGGUGAGUAAUGCAUCGGAACGUGCCCGGUCGUGGGGGAUAACGCAGCGAAAGCUGCGCUAAUACCGCAUACGAUCUGAGGAUGAAAGCGGGGGACCGUAAGGCCUCGCGCGAUCGGAGCGGCCGAUGUCAGAUUAGGUAGUUGGUGGGGUAAAGGCUCACCAAGCCGACGAUCUGUAGCUGGUCUGAGAGGACGACCAGCCACACUGGGGCUGAGACACGGCCCAGACUCCUACGGGAGGCAGCAGUGGGGAAUUUUGGACAAUGGGCGCAAGCCUGAGCCGCCAAUGCCGCGUGCAGGAAGAAGGCCUUCGGGUUGUAAACUGCUUUUGUACGGGGCGAAAAGGCUCUCUCUAAUACAGGGGGCUCAUGACGGUACCGUAAGAGUAAGCACCGGCUAACUACGUGCCAGCAGCCGCCGUAA
rnacentral:rRNA from 1 species